rnacentral:rRNA from 1 species
UACGUAGGCAGCGAGCGUUGUUCGGAGUUACUGGGCGUAAAGAGUGUGUAGGCGGUGUCGUAAGUUCGGUGUGAAAUCUCCCGGCUUAACUGGGAGGGUGCGCCGGAUACUGCGAGACUCGAGUACGGGAGAGGGAAGCGGAAUUCCUGGUGUAGCGGUGAAAUGCGUAGAUAUCAGGAGGAACACCUGCGGUGUAGACGGCUUCCUGGACCGUUACUGACGCUGAGACACGAAAGCGUGGGGAGCAAACAGG